rnacentral:lncRNA from 1 species
AUCACCUCAUCUUCGAUUGAGUCUCUGCUCUCACUCUUCACAGUAGACUCUUUAUUCUCCAGGGCUUGCUAGCUCACUCUCCCUUUUCCUGUCCAAUCUCACCUAGCUAAUCCAACUCAUCCUCUAUCCCUGGCCCUUGUUAUUAACUCCAUCCCUCCCCAACUCAAUCGAUUUACCUUCUUGCAUGUCAUCUCUUUAACCAACAAUCGGUUAACCGGUCUACUACCAUCUCGCUGUCAUAGCUGAUCUGGUUUCAAGUGACUCACCGGCUCUAUACAUCAAACCCCAACCCAACAAGAAACUCAUCGUGAGGGGCCAUA